CCUACGGGAGGCAGCAGUGAGGAAUAUUGGUCAAUGGACGCGAGCCUGAACCAGCCAUGUCGCGUGAAGGAAGACGGCCCUAUGGGUUGUAAACUGCUUUUAUAAGAGAAUAAACGCAGGUACGCGUGUCUUUCUGAAAGUAUCUUACGAAUAAGGAUCGGCUAACUCCGUGCCAGCAGCCGCGGUAAUACGGAGGGUUCAAGCGUUGUCCGGAAUCAUUGGGCUUAAAGGGUUCGUAGGCGGUACGAAAAGUUAGAUGUGAAAGCCAGAGGCUCAACUUCGGUACUGCACUGGAUACUUGCCGGCUAGAAUGCGGUAGAGGUAAAGGGAAUGUAUGGUGUAGCGGUGAAAUGCUUAGAGAUCA
rnacentral:rRNA from 1 species